ACACGAAGAAAUUCUAAUCGAAUAAUUUCGGGAUCCUAGAGGAUAAUUUCUCUAGCGGUAACGCUGGUGUUGCACCAUUGUCAUCCAACAAAAAAGCGGGUCGCACACACAUUUCCAUGACGAAUUGUAACCUCAAAGUGUGAAGUGAAUGCUGUGAACUUUGAAGGUUUUUUUAGAGAGUCUAGCACACCACUUUUAAUCUUCUAUUUCUAAACUUUCACCUUCCAAAC